CCUACGGGAGGCAGCAGUGAGGAAUAUUGGUCAAUGGGCGCGAGCCUGAACCAGCCAAGUAGCGUGAAGGAUGAAUGCCCUACGGGUUGUAAACUUCUUUUAUAAAGGAAUAAAGUGAGGCACGUGUGCCUUUUUGUAUGUACUUUAUGAAUAAGGCUCGGCUACCUCCGUGCCAGCAGCCGCGGUAAUACGGAGGAUCCGAGCGUUAUCCGGAUUUAUUGGGAUGAAAGGGAGCGUAGAUGGGUUGUUAAGUCAGUUGUGAAAGUUUGCGGCUCAACCGUAAAAUUGCAAUUGUUACUUGCAGCCUUGAGUACAGUUGAGGUAGGCGGAAUUCGUGGUGUAGCGGUGAAAUGCUUAGAUAUCACGAAGAACUCCGAUUGCGAAGGCAGUUCACUGGACUGCAACUGACACUGAGGCUCGAAAGUGUGGGUAUCAAACAGGAGUAGAUACCCGAGUAGUC
rnacentral:rRNA from 1 species